GAACGCUGGCGGCAUGCCUUACACAUGCAAGUCGAACGGCAGCACGGGAGCAAUCCUGGUGGCGAGUGGCGAACGGGGUGAGUAAUAUAUCGGAACGUGCCCAGUCGUGGGGGAUAACGCAGCGAAAGCUGUGCUAAUACCGCAUACGAUCUCUGGAUGAAAGCGGGGGACUCGCAAGGGCCUCGCGCGAUUGGAGCGGCCGAUAUCAGAUUAGCUAGUUGGUGGGGUAAAGGCCCACCAAGGCGACGAUCUGUAGCUGGUCUGAGAGGACGACCAGCCACACUGGAACUGAGACACGGUCCAGACUCCUACGGGAGGCAGCAGUGGGGAAUUUUGGACAAUGGGCGAAAGCCUGAUCCAGCAAUGCCGCGUGCAGGAUGAAGGCCUUAGGGUUGUAAACUGCUUUUGUACGGAACGAAACGGUCUUCUUUAAUAAAGGGGGCUAAUGACGGUACCGUAAGAAUAAGCACCGGCUAACUACGUG
rnacentral:rRNA from 1 species